rnacentral:tRNA from 3 species
GCCCAGGUGGCGGAAUGGUAGACGCGGCGGACUUAAAAUCCGCUUCUCGGUAAGAGAGUGGGGGUUCGAGUCCCUUCCUGGGCACCA